rnacentral:rRNA from 1 species
GACGAACGCUGGCGGCGUGCUUAACACAUGCAAGUCGAACGGAAAGGCCCUGCUUUUGUGGGGUGCUCGAGUGGCGAACGGGUGAGUAACACGUGAGUAACCUGCCCUUGACUUGGGGAUAACUUCAGGAAACUGGGGCUAUUACCGGAUAGGAGCUCUUGCUGCAUGGUGGGGGUUGGAAAGUUUCGGCGGUUGGGGAUGGACUCGCGGCUUAUCAGCUUGUUGGUGGGGUAGUGGCUUACCAAGGCUUUGACGGGUAGCCGGCCUGAGAGGGUGACCGGCCACAUUGGGACUGAGAUACGGCCCAGACUCCUACGGGAGGCAGCAGUGGGGAAUAUUGCACAAUGGGCGGAAGCCUGAUGCAGCAACGCCGCGUGCGGGAUGACGGCCUUCGGGUUGUAAACCGCUUUCGCCUGUGACGAAGCGUGAGUGACGGUAAUGGGUAAAGAAGCACCGGCUAACUACGUG